rnacentral:rRNA from 1 species
UGGGGAAUAUUGGACAAUGGGCGCAAGCCUGAUCCAGCCAUGCCGCGUGAGUGAUGAAGGCCCUAGGGUUGUAAAGCUCUUUCACCGGUGAAGAUAAUGACGGUAACCGGAGAAGAAGCCCCGGCUAACUUCGUGCCAGCAGCCGCGGUAAUACGAAGGGGGCUAGCGUUGUUCGGAUUUACUGGGCGUAAAGCGCACGUAGGCGGACUAUUAAGUCAGGGGUGAAAUCCCGGGGCUCAACCCCGGAACUGCCUUUGAUACUGGUAGUCUUGAGUUCGAGAGGGGUGAGUGGAAUUCCGAGUGUAGGGGUGAAAUUCGUAGAUAUUCGGAGAAACACCAGUGGCGAAGGCGGCUCACUGGCUCGAUACUGACGCUGGGGUGCGAAAGCGUGGGGAGCAAACAGG